UGACCUCAACUCAGUCGUGAUUACCCGCUGAAUUUAAGCAUAUAACUAAGCGGAGGAAAAGAAACUAACGAGGAUUUCCCUAGUAACGGCGAGUGAAAAGGAAAAAGCCCAACGCUGAAUCCAAUAGACAUUAUAUGGCUAUAUGGAAAUGUAGCGUAUAGGUAUAACUAUCCGUAACAUAUUUUUACACCCAAAGUCCCCUUGAGCGGGGCUACAGUCCAUAGAAGGUGCUAGACCUGUACGGGUGAAAAAAGUUACGGUAGGUUAUUCCUUGGAGUCGGGUUGUUUGAGAUUGCAGCCCAAAGAGGGUGGUAAACCUCAUCUAAGGCUAAAUACGACCAUGAGACCGAUAGCAAACAAGUACCGUGAGGGAAAGUUGCAAAGAACUUUGAAGAGAGAGUUCAAGAGGGCGUGAAACCGCUGAGAUGGAAACGGAUAGAGUUAACAAAACUUAUCGGUAUUCAACCAAUCAAUUUAGCAAUCAUAAUUCAUUUCAUUAUUCAUUAAUAAUUUUUUUUUUUUUAUUAAUGAAUAAAAUGAUAUUAAUGCUAAAUUAGCAGUAUAUGCAUAGAUUGGUGUAUUUACCGAUGGUAUGCAUCGAGAACUUCAUUUUAGCAUAUUAAUACAAGUUAAUUUAGUGGACCAAAUUAUUUCAAUUGAUAAUUGGAAU
rnacentral:ncRNA from 1 species